AAUAUGUUUGAAACGCUGUGAUUGUUUACCGAAGUGAUUGUUUACCGAAAUUCUCCUUCGAAAGCAGCUUUCGUUACCCACCAUGUUACUUUCCCUUACCUUAUUGCUAUGGGGAUCGAUGUUAUGAUAUUGUUAUUAUUGUUUGUUUAAUUAGUCAAAAACACGAAGGACUAGAUUUGUCUCGUUUCAUAGUAUAAGGUCUGCUUUAGGCAAACCCCAAAAGAUCCUCCGAGAGCUAGUGACACGUAUAUACACACCAUAUACGGAUGAUGCCACGUAUCCGAUUGAUCCCAAGUGGAUAAUUGAAAUGCGAGGUGCAUUGCGUCUGUUGUAUAUACAUUCAAUCUAAAAUUUUCUUUAAAAUUAUCCUCUUUCGAGUCGACUAUCAGCUCAUCGGUAUGACCCUAAAUACCUUGCGGUUUUCAGAUAUCAUCAAAGAAGAAAACGACUCCAACGAACGAUGGGAGUGAGUAUACAACUGUUAAUGGACUUAACUAUCGCUGGUAUCUCGCUGAUGAUCGGAUUUGGGAUUUUCGCUUUUGUUGUUUCGGUUCUCUGUUCUGCAGUGUUCUUUCACAACGCUAAGGCUCAGUACUCUUCGUCUUCGUGAUCACUGGUUCAAGUUUAUGAGUAUAAUAAGGUUCAAGUUCACAUAUACAAUGUCUAAUUUGUUUAAAUAUGUAUGUUGAUUGAUACCCAAAAGUUCAUGUUACAAUAAAAAUUGAUAUGAUCGUGUGGUAAAUAAAA